UGGCGGCGUGCUUAACACAUGCAAGUCGAACGGUGAACACGGAGCUUGCUCUGUGGGAUCAGUGGCGAACGGGUGAGUAACACGUGAGCAACCUGCCCCUGACUCUGGGAUAAGCGCUGGAAACGGCGUCUAAUACUGGAUAUGUGACGUGAUCGCAUGGUCUGCGUCUGGAAAGAAUUUCGGUUGGGGAUGGGCUCGCGGCCUAUCAGCUUGUUGGUGAGGUAAUGGCUCACCAAGGCGUCGACGGGUAGCCGGCCUGAGAGGGUGACCGGCCACACUGGGACUGAGACACGGCCCAGACUCCUACGGGAGGCAGCAGUGGGGAAUAUUGCACAAUGGGCGCAAGCCUGAUGCAGCAACGCCGCGUGAGGGAUGACGGCCUUCGGGUUGUAAACCUCUUUUAGCAGGGAAGAAGCGAAAGUGACGGUACCUGCAGAAAAAGCGCCGGCUAACUACGUGCCAGCAGCCGCGGUAAUACGUAGGGCGCAAGCGUUAUCCGGAAUUAUUGGGCGUAAAGAGCUCGUAGGCGGUUUGUCGCGUCUGCUGUGAAAUCCGGAGGCUCAACCUCCGGCCUGCAGUGGGUACGGGCAGACUAGAGUGCGGUAGGGGAGAUUGGAAUUCCUGGUGUAGCGGUGGAAUGCGCAGAUAUCAGGAGGAACACCGAUGGCGAAGGCAGAUCUCUGGGCCGUAACUGACGCUGAGGAGCGAAAGGGUGGGGAGCAAACAGGCUUAGAUACCCUGGUAGUCCACCCCGUAAACGUUGGGAACUAGUUGUGGGGUCCAUUCCACGGAUUCCGUGACGCAGCUAACGCA
rnacentral:rRNA from 1 species